GCCGACGUGGCGGAAUUGGCAGACGCGCUGGACUCAAAAUCCAGUGGUAGCGAUACCGUGUGGGUUCGACCCCCUCCGUCGGCACCA
rnacentral:tRNA from 1 species